GAGACACUAGUUAAAUUGAUUAUAACAAUGCUUUGUCAAGGCAUAAUUGUAGGUUGAAGUCCUACGUAUCUUA